rnacentral:rRNA from 1 species
GAAUUGCAGAAUUCCGUGAACCAUCGAAUCUUUGAACGCAUAUUGCGCUCGAGCCCUCGGGCAAGAGCAUGUCUGCCUCAGCGUCGGUUUACAC